CCUUUUUAUGGAUCAACAUGAAGAUUGAGGGAUCUCAAACAGAAAAGGCAUCCUGGUGGCAAAGGUUAAUCAUUACCAGACUGCAAUAGUACUUUCAAUGGCAAGAAAACCGCAAGAGACAGCGGUGUUUCUUAAACUAUUAAUAUAUUCCAAAGGAUAUUUACUUUACCAGAAGUUCAACAUUAUACCCCAAAAGAGAGACUCCAUGAUCACCCAUGUUUGAAAAAUGUUACAAAACUGUGCAUUAUGUGUCUAGUAUUUGAGAAAUCUUUUGAACUUCACCUAAUCCUUAUUUGUAAAUACUUAUUUUGGAGAACCUUUUGGAGGCCCCUCCUCCAACACUGAAGCUCAUAAUUCAUCAUGAGAUUUGGCUGGGGACACAGCGCCAA
rnacentral:lncRNA from 1 species